GUGGGGAAUCUUGCGCAAUGGGCGAAAGCCUGACGCUGCCAUGCCGCGUGAAUGAUGAAGGUCUUAGGAUUGUAAAAUUCUUUCACCGGGGACGAUAAUGACGGUACCCGGAGAAGAAGCCCCGGCUAACUUCGUGCCAGCAGCCGCGGUAAUACGAAGGGGGCUAGCGUUGCUCGGAAUUACUGGGCGUAAAGGGCGCGUAGGCGGACAGUUUAGUCAGAGGUGAAAGCCCAGGGCUCAACCUUGGAAUUGCCUUUGAUACUGGCUGUCUUGAGUACGGGAGAGGUGAGUGGGACUCCGAGUGUAGAGGUGAAAUUCGUAGAUAUUCGGAAGAACACCAGUGGCGAAGGCGACUCACUGGCCCGUUACUGACGCUGAGGCGCGAAAGCGUGGGGAGCAAACAGGAUUAGAUACCCGAGUAGUCC
rnacentral:rRNA from 1 species